GAUGAACGCUGACAGCAUGCUUAACACAUGCAAGUCAACUUUGGCGGACGGGUGAGUAACGCGUAAAGAACUUGCCUCACAGGUAGGGACAACAUUUGGAAACGAAUGCUAAUACCUAAUAGCUGUGGAGAGCUUUGCGUCCCAUUAGCUAGUUGGAGAGGUAACGGCUCACCAAGGCGAUGAUGGGUAGCCGGCCUGAGAGGGUGAUCGGCCACAAGGGGACUGAGACACGGCCCUUACUCCUACGGGAGGCAGCAGUGGGGAAUAUUGGUCAAUGGGCGUUAGCCUGAACCAGCCAAGUAGCGUGCAGGAUGACGGCCUAUGGGUUGUAAACUGCUUUUAUAUGGGGAUAGGUACCAUAUGAAUAAGGACCGGCUAAUUCCGUGCCAGCAGCCGCGGUAAUAC
rnacentral:rRNA from 1 species